rnacentral:rRNA from 1 species
UGAAGGUCAGGCUGAAGACCUUACCCGAUUAGCUGAGGGGUGGUGCAUGGCCGUCGUCAGUUCGUACUGUGAAGCAUCCUGUUAAGUCAGGCAACGAGCGAGACCCACGUCCACAGUUGCCAGCAUACCCUCCGGGGUGAUGGGUACACUGUGGAGACCGCCGCUGCUAAAGCGGAGGAAGGAGUGGGCAACGGUAGGUCAGUAUGCCCCGAAUCUCCCGGGCUACACGCGGGCUACAAUGGUUGGUACAAUGGGCAUCUACCCCGAAAGGGGAAGGAAAUCUCUUAAAGCCAAUCGUAGUUCGGAUUGAGGGCUGCAACUCGCCCUCAUGAAGCUGGAAUCCGUAGUAAUCGCGUUUCCACAGAACGCGGUGAAUACGUCCCUGCUCCUU